GAAUCAACGCUGGCGGCGUGCCUCAGACAUGCAAGUCGAACGAUUAAACUUUCCUUCGGGAAAGAUAUAAAGUGGCGCACGGGUGAGUAACACGUAAGUAAUCUACCUUUGAGUGGGGAAUAACGUUCGGAAACGGACGCUAAUACCGCAUAAUGCAGCGGCACCGCAAGGUGACAGUUGUUAAAGGAGCAAUUCGCUUAAAGAGGAGCUUGCGGCAGAUUAGCUUGUUGGAAGGUAACGGCUUACCAAGGCUACGAUCUGUAUCCGGUCUAAGAGGACGGUCGGACACACUGACACUGAAUAACGGGUCAGACUCCUACGGGAGGCAGCAGUGGGGAAUAUUGGACAAUGGGCGAAAGCCUGAUCCAGCCAUGCCGCGUGAGUGAUGAAGGCCUUAGGGUUGUAAAGCUCUUUACCCGGGAAGAUAAUGACGAUACCGGGAGAAUAAGCCCGGCUAACUUCGUGCCAGCCGCCGCAGU
rnacentral:rRNA from 1 species